CACAGUAAAACUUUUAUGGUGUUUUCAAUAACAAGAGCUACUGCACAUGAACAGCAACUAAUUUUUAAAGCCUUGGUAUUUCAGCUGAGAUGAGGUUUUUUCCCUCUCUCUUCUGUUGGAAAAACACUUAGAUUAGUGUGCUCAGCAGUCAGUGCCUGGAGCUGACCUCUCUGCCUGACAUGGUGCUCCAACUCCCACAAUUGCUGAGCACCCCUGGAAAAGAAUUUCUGCAAACCAGGCUGCUCUUCUGCUGACAUCUGUGGAGAAGCUGAGCUCCAGGCUCCCAGGUGGGAUCUCUGAGGAAGCUGGAUGUGCCUGGUACAGCAGGAUGUGAUGAAUUAGGACUUGGUUUGCCUUUGCCACAGCUGUCAGUGCAGGAUCUUGGAGCACCACAGCACCCCAUCCCAUCUUGGGAAGAGCCUGCUGAAUCAGCAUCUCCACAGUCCUUGAGGAAACCCAAAAAGAGCCACUGAAACUGGAACAGCUGUGGGUGACCAUGUGCUCAAGGCUUCAGAGCCUCACAGAUUGUUGAGUUUGCUUUUCCUUACAGGCACUGCUCCAUGGCCUCGCCAGCAGCCCCUCCCCACCCUGUUCCUGAGCUCCAUCAGUUUCAAAACUGAGCCAGAGUCUUCUUGCCCUGAGAGUCUGGAGUCUGCAGGAAGGUGCCCAAGUGACACAUGCAGAAGGAGAGAACCUUAUCCCUGCACCCUGCACCCAUCAGUGCCUCCCGUGACUGUCAGCUCCUUGCAGACAGAGGAAUCUCCUAGCAACCUUGCACUGGCUCUUUGGAUGCAGCCUAAUUCGGUUUCUGGUCAUCCAGCACAAAACCUCAUGAAGGCAUCUGGCAACCAAAGCGACAGACAGGCUGUGGUGGAGUGCUGAAGGAUCUGGCAUGAUGAUUCUUUCAGCAAAAUCCCUGCUCAGGGCUGAUUCUGAGGUUUUUAUAGUGAGCCUGAGAGUGUAACAUUCAGGUGAGGGCUCUGCAGCAUCCUGCUGAGGGCUGGGUACCACCUACCUGAGCUGAGUGCUCAAAGGAAUGAUCCUGGAGCUGGUGAGGGUGCUCCUGCUUCUCUUUCUUUCAUUCUUGUUUCCUGAUAAAAAGGAGUGAGAGA
rnacentral:lncRNA from 1 species